rnacentral:lncRNA from 1 species
AAGCAACUUAAUGAAUGAAUGGAUGAAUGAACAUCUCCAUUUUGAGGUGAGAACAUUCAAAGGUGGGCCAUACAGGAUUUAUGUAACUCAUCUAAGAAUUCAAGGACUUUGCGCAUCAGUAGAUAAAUGGAAAAAUCAUUCCCAACACAGGGAUUGAAAGUUAUUCUUUAUUCUUCCAUAUUGAUUUACAUCUAUUUAGAACUUGAAGAUUUUUAGUGUUAUGCCUACUCUGCCAAUUCUUGGAACAUUUGCGGAACUGAGAAUUUACUUCUUCGUUUAUUACUUCCUAACUACAUUUUAAAGGUGCCAAUAAAAUAAAAACCACAAAGACAAAGUGGAAUGUGGAGGACAUGAAAGUUUCAUGCUAGGAAUUAAACUAGAACAUGAAGAAGCAUCCGGAGAUCUCCAGUUCUGAAUACCCUGGUCACUGUCAACAAGUUCCAAAUGAUUUAAAGUACUAAUUGAAUUUGAUAAUUGUUUAUUGAUCACAUAGUAUAUACUCUGCAUCAGAAGCUGCCUCUAAGUAGUGUCACCUUAAGCAGAAGGGAUUGAGGCUCAUUUGUUCUAGAUUCAGAUCAUUCAACAAAACAUGGCAUGAUUUCCACAGUCUCUGACAUUCUGAUUGCAUUGCUUGAGAAAAUUCUCAGUCUGGGAAUCU